rnacentral:rRNA from 1 species
UACGAAGGGGGCUAGCGUUGUUCGGAAUUACUGGGCGUAAAGCGCACGUAGGCGGCUUUGUAAGUUAGAGGUGAAAGCCCGGGGCUCAACUCCGGAAUUGCCUUUAAGACUGCAUCGCUAGAAUUGUGGAGAGGUAAGUGGGAAUUCCGAGUGUAGAGGUGAAAUUCGAUAGAUAUUCGGAAGAACACCAGUGGCGAAGGCGACUUACUGGACACAUAUUGACGCUGAGGUGCGAAAGCGUGGGGAGCAAACAGG